rnacentral:misc_RNA from 1 species
GAUGAAGAACGCAGCGAAAUGCGAUAAGUAAUGUGAAUUGCAGAAUUCAGUGAAUCAUCGAAUCUUUGAACGCACCUUGCACCCUUUGGCAUUCCGAAGGGUAUGCUCGUUUGAGUGUCAUUGUACUCUCACACUUCCGAUCUUUGGAUUGGGAGCGGUGGACUUGGGUGUUGCUGCUUACUGUGGCUCACCUCAAAUCGAUUCGUGCACCUCUUGGUUGGACAUAGUACGGCGUGAUAAGUGUCUUCGCCGGCACCUCGCAAGAGGGUGGCUGAUCAGGAGCUCUGUGCUUUCCAACUGUCUUCAGACAACAACUGACAACUUGACCUCAAAUCGAGUAGGACCACCCGCUGAACUUAAGCAUAUCAAUAAGCGGAGGA